UUUCAACACAAAACAUAAAAGUCAUAAGUAUUUUUUUCGACAUUAAGACGUCAUAAGUAAUUUUUUUAAACUCAAAGACUGUGGUUCGCAACCACUUUUUGCCUAUAGACCCAUUUUGGUUCCUAUUUUAUUCCACUGGAUCCCCACAGUCAUUCGAUGUUUAAAUAAAACCCUAUUAUAUUUUUAUAAGGAAUUCCAACCACGUUUCAUGGUUCGCAACCUCAACAGCUCCUUUAUAGGAUCCAGCAGCUAAGGACAUCAUCAGGAUGAACCACGUCCGGUUUCGGCCCCUAGACCUCUACCGCUUUCGACGAAUCGGGGCCCAUCCUUUCGGAAGUGUCUUCAGCUCUGGUGUUGAAUUGGUUAAGGCGUAAAGUAUUUUCUGAGAAAUGAUCUGAAGAUUGAUAACAGUUUAUAGAAGAUUGAUAUGUAUAUUAAAUCAAUGACGUUUCCAUCUGUAGCAGAGACAAUCACCAGUAUUUCUAUGGAGACUAUCUACUUGAAGCAAAAAUCCAAUUCUAGAAAACUCAAUUUGAAUAAACUUACGGGAAAAUAUAGUUUCAACA